rnacentral:rRNA from 1 species
GACGAACGCUGGCGGCGUGCCUAAUACAUGCAAGUAGAACGCAGUUGCGAACGGGUGAGUAACGCGUAGGUAACUGCCUGGUAGCGGGGGAUAACUAUUGGAAACGAUAGCUAAUACCGCAUACUACCAGAUGGACCUGCGUUGUAUUAGCUAGUUGGUGGGGUAACGGCUCACCAAGGCAACGAUACCUAGCCGACCUGUGAGGGUGGACGGGCACACUGGGUCUGGGACACGGCCCAGGAUCCGACGGGAGGCAGCAGUAGGGAAUCUUCGGCAAUGGGGGGAACCCUGGCCGAGCAACGCCGCGUGAGUGAAGAAGGUUUUCGGAUCGUAAAGCUCUGUUGUUAAGGGAGCGGUACUUAACCAGAAAGGGACGGCUAACUACGUGCCAGCAGCCGCGGUAAUAC